rnacentral:rRNA from 1 species
GGAUCAGUAUGUCGGUCGUGCUUCGGUACGUACUGUCAUUACUGGUUUCUCCCUUCUGAAGAACCAUGAUGUCAUUAAUUUGAUGUCUUGGGAAAUCAGGACUGUUACUUUGAAAAAAUUAGAGUGUUUAAAGCAGGCAUACGCUUGAAUACAUUAGCAUGGAAUAAUGAAAUAGGACGUUUGAUUCUAUUUUGUUGGUUUCUAGGAUCGACGUAAUGAUUAAUAGGGAUAGUUGGG